UACGAAGGGGGCUAGCGUUGUUCGGAAUUACUGGGCGUAAAGCGCGCGCAGGCGGUCUUCCAAGUCAGUGGUGAAAGCCCCGGAGCUCAACUUCGGAACUGCCAUUGAAACUGUUAGACUUGAGGACGAGAGAGGUGAGUGGAAUUCCCAGUGUAGAGGUGAAAUUCGUAGAUAUUGGGAAGAACACCGGUGGCGAAGGCGGCGAGCUGGUCCAUUACUGACGCUGAGGCGCGACAGCGUGGGGAGCAAACAGG
rnacentral:rRNA from 1 species